AACGCACGAGACCUGCGGACCUGCGGAAGGAUCAUUACCGAGUUUACAACUCCCAAACCCAAUGUGAACGUUACCAAACUGUUGCCUCGGCGGGAUCUCUGCCCCGGGUGCGUCGCAGCCCCGGACCAAGGCGCCCGCCGGAGGACCAACCAAAACUCUUUUUGUAUACCCCCUCGCGGGUUUUUUAUAAUCUGAGCCUUCUCGGCGCCUCUCGUAGGCGUUUCGAAAAUGAAUCAAAAC
rnacentral:misc_RNA from 1 species